rnacentral:rRNA from 1 species
UACGUAGGGGGCAAGCGUUGUCCGGAUUUAUUGGGCGUAAAGAGCGUGUAGGCGGUUAGGUAGGUCCGUUGUGAAAACUCGAGGCUCAACCUCGAGACGCCGAUGGAAACCAUCUAACUAGAGUCCGGAAGAGGAGAGUGGAAAUUCCUGGUGUAGCGGUGGAAGUGCGCAGAUAUCAGGAGGAACACCGAUGGCGAAGGCAG